rnacentral:rRNA from 1 species
GAUGAACGCUGGCGGCGUGCCUAAUACAUGCAAGUCGAGCGAAUGGAUUAAGAGCUUGCUCUUAUGAAGUUAGCGGCGGACGGGUGAGUAACACGUGGGUAACCUGCCCAUAAGACUGGGAUAACUCCGGGAAACCGGGGCUAAUACCGGAUAACAUUUUGAACCGCAUGGUUCGAAAUUGAAAGGCGGCUUCGGCUGUCACUUAUGGAUGGACCCGCGUCGCAUUAGCGAGUUGGUGAGGUAACGGCUCACCAAGGCAACGAUGCGUAGCCGACCUGAGAGGGUGAUCGGCCACACUGGGACUGAGACACGGCCCAGACUCCUACGGGAGGCAGCAGUAGGGAAUCUUCCGCAAGGGACGAAAGUCUGACGGAGCAACGCCGCGUGAGUGAUGAAGGCUUUCGGGUCGUAAAACUCUGUUGCUAGGGAAGAACAAGUGCUAGUUGAAUAAGCUGGCACCUUGACGGUACCUAACCAGAAAGCCACGGCUAACUACGUGCCAGCAGCCGCAGUAA